rnacentral:rRNA from 1 species
CCUACGGGAGGCAGCAGUGGGGAAUAUUGGUCAAUGGACGAAAGUCUGACCCAGCAACGCCGCGUGAAGGAAGAAGGCCCUCGGGUUGUAAACCUCCUUUUAGGGGGAAGAGAAGAAGACGGUACCCCUUGAAUAAGCUACGGCUAACUACGUGCCAGCAGCAGCGGUACUACGGAGGUGGCAGGCGUUGUCCGGAUUUACUGGGUGUAAAGGGCGUGCAGCCGGAGAGACAAGUCAGAUGUGAAAUCCACGGGCUCAACCCGAGAACUGCAGUUGAAACUGUUUCCCUUGAGUGUAGGAGAGGUAAGCGGAAUUCGUGGUGUAGCGGUGAAAUGCGUAGAUAUUAGGAAGAACACCAGUGGCGAAGGCGGAUUACUGGACGGUAACUGACGGUGAGGCGCGAAAGCGUGGGGAGCAAACAGGAUUAGAUACCCGUGUAGUC